GAUGAACGCUGACAGAAUGCUUAACACAUGCAAGUCGAUGGGGAAGUGGUGCUUGCCCCAUGGCAACCAUGGCGGACGGGUGAGUAACGCGUAAGGGACUUACCUGCAGGACUGGGAUAACAGGGGGAAACUCCUGACAAGACCGGAUAAUGUCAUGGAGCUGCAUGGCUUUAUGAUGAAAGGAGACGCCUGCGGAGAGCCUUGCGUCCUAUUAGCUAGUUGGUGAGGUAAUGGCUCACCAAGGCGAAGAUAGGUAGCCGGCCUGAGAGGGUGGACGGCCACAAGGGGACUGAGAUACGGCCCUUACUCCUACGGGAGGCAGCAGUGGGGAAUAUUGGACAAUGGGGGCAACCCUGAUCCAGCAAUUCUGUGUGCACGAAGAAGGUUUUCGGAUUGUAAAGUGCUUUCAGCAGGGAAGAAGUAAGUGACGGUACCUGCAGAAGAAGCGACGGCGAAAUACGU
rnacentral:rRNA from 1 species